GACGAACGCUGGCGGCGUGCUUAACACAUGCAAGUCGAACGAUGAAGCUAGAGCUUGCUCUGGUGGAUUAGUGGCGAACGGGUGAGUAACACGUGAGUAACCUGCCCCGAACUCUGGGAUAACUGCUGGAAACGGUAGCUAAUACUGGAUACGACCAACGAAGGCCUCUUCUGUGGGUUGAAAGAAUUUAGGUUCGGGAUGGACUCGCGGCCUAUCAGAUUGUUGGUGAGGUAACGGCUCACCAAGGGGACGACGGGUAGCCGGCCUGAGAGGGUGAUCGGCCACACUGGGACUGAGACACGGCCCAGACUCCUACGGGAGGCAGCAGUGGGGAAUAUUGCACAAUGGGCGCAAGCCUGAUGCAGCAACGCCGCGUGAGGGACGACGGCCUUCGGGUUGUAAACCUCUUUUAGUAGGGAAGAAGCGAAAGUGACGGUACCUGCAGAAAAAGCACCGGCUAACUACGUGCCAGCAGCCGCAGUAA
rnacentral:rRNA from 1 species